rfam:Desulfopila aestuarii DSM 18488 genome assembly, contig: EJ45DRAFT_scaffold00002.2
ACAGACAAAGCCAAACCUGCUGAAAGGCUGGGUCGGAAAGAUACGGGUCUUAACAGAUAGCCGAGCUGCCUUGA